UACAGAGGGUGCAAGCGUUGUUCGGAAUUAUUGGGCGUAAAGCGCGUGUAGGCGGCCUCGUAAGUCAAAUGUGAAAGCCCUCGGCUCAACCGAGGAAGCGCAUUUGAUACUGCGAAGCUUGAGUAUCGGAGAGGAGAGCGGAACACCCGGUGUAGAGGUGAAAUUCGUAGAUAUCGGGUAGAACACCAGUGGCGAAGGCGGCUCUCUGGACGAAUACUGACGCUGAGACGCGAAAGCGUGGGGAGCAAACAGG
rnacentral:rRNA from 1 species